AGAUGGCGACCGGCGCACGGGUGAGUAACACGUAUCCAACCUGCCGAUAACUCGGGGAUAGCCUUUCGAAAGAAAGAUUAAUACCCGAUGGUAUAAUCAGACCGCAUGGUUUGAUUAUUAAAGAAUUUCGGUUAUCGAUGGGGAUGCGUUCCAUUAGGCAGUUGGUGAGGUAACGGCUCACCAAACCUCGAUGGAUAGGGGUUCUGAGAGGAAGGUCCCCCACAUUGGAACUGAGACACGGUCCAA
rnacentral:rRNA from 1 species